rnacentral:lncRNA from 1 species
CUCUGAUCAAAUAUGUAAUGAUAUGUGCUGUUACAUACCUUUUUAAUUUUAACUAAGUCUUCCUGUGAGUAUUGAGUCCGAUUUUUCAGCCUGAGCCUGCGAUCUGUAUAUUUCUGUAGAAAUAUACCCCUGGGAAAAGGCUGCAAAGAUCCUGGCCACCAUGUUUACCUUCAACACCAAAGACUUGCUUCAGAAAGAGAAGAAACAGAGUGUUAUGCUGGCCCC